rnacentral:rRNA from 1 species
UACGGAGGGUGCAAGCGUUAUCCGGAUUCACUGGGUUUAAAGGGUGCGUAGGUGGGUUGGUAAGUCAGUGGUGAAAUCCCCGGGCUUAACUUGGGAACUGCCAUUGAUACUAUUGAUCUUGAAUACCGUGGAGGUCGGCGGAAUAUGUCAUGUAGCGGUGAAAUGCUUAGAUAUGACAUAGAACACCAAUUGCGAAGGCAGCUGGCUGCGCGGAUAUUGACACUGAGGCACGAAAGCGUGGGGAUCAAACAGG